GUACGGCCACAUUGGAACUGAGAGACGGUCCAGACUCCUACGGGAGGCAGCAGUGGGGAAUAUUGGGCAAUGGGGGCAACCCUGACCCAGCGACGCCGCGUGAGGGAAGACAGCCUUCGGGUUGUAAACCUCUGUUGCAGGGGAAGAAGGACGUGACGGUACCCUGCGAGGAAGCUCCGGCUAACUACGUGCCAGCAGCCGCGGUAAUACGUAGGGAGCGAGCGUUAUCCGGAAUUACUGGGCGUAAAGGGCGCGUAGGCGGUGACUCAAGUCGUUCGUUAAAUAUUGAGGCUUAACCUCAAGGAGCGGCCGAAACUGAGACACUGGAGACACAGAGAGGCAAACAGAAUUCCUGGUGUAGCGGUGAAAUGCGUAGAUAUCAGGAAGAAUACCGGUGGCGAAGGCGGUUUGCUGGAUGUGAUCUGACGCUGAAGCGCGAAAGCCGGGGGAGCGAACGGGAUUAGAUACCCCGGUAGUCCCGGCAGUAAACGAUGUAUGCUGGGUGUGGCCGUAGCGAUACAGCCGUGCCGAAGUUAACGCGAUAAGCAUACCGCCUGGGGAGUACGGUCGCAAGAUUGAAACUCAAAGGAAUUGACGGGGGCCCGCACAAGCGGUGGAGCACGUGGUUUAAUUCGAUGCAAACCGAAGAACCUUACCUGGACUUGACAUACACGUAGUAGCGAAUCGAAAGAGGAGCGAGGCAUCCUUCGGGAUGCCAGCGUGAACAGGUGCUGCAUGGCUGUCGUCAGCUCGUGUCGUGAGAUGUUGGGUUAAGUCCCGCAACGAGCGCAACCCCUGUUGCCGGUUGCUAACGCGCAAAGGCGAGCACUCCGGCGAGACUGCCAUCGACAAGAUGGAGGAAGGUGGGGACGACGUCAAGUCAUCAUGGCCCUUAUGUCCAGGGCGACACACAUGCUACAAUGGCUGGUACAGAGAGAAGCGAAGCCGAGAGGCCGAGCAGAUCCCAUCAAAGCCAGUCCCAGUUCGGAUUGCAGUCUGCAACUCGACUGCAUGAAGUUGGAAUCGCUAGUAAUCGCGGAUCAGCCAAGCCGCGGUGAAUACGUUCCCGGGCCUUGUACACACCGCCCGUCACACCAUCCGAGUUGGGUGCUCUCGAAGUCGGAGGCUUAACCGCAAGGAAAGAUCCGCCUAAAGAGUGUCCG
rnacentral:rRNA from 1 species